rnacentral:rRNA from 1 species
CAUGGCUGUCGUCAGCUCGUGUCGUGAGAUGUUGGGUUAAGUCCCGCAACGAGCGCAACCCUUGUCUUAUGUUGCCAGCACGUGAUGGUGGGGACUCGUAAGAGACUGCCGGGGUCAACUCGGAGGAAGGUGGGGACGACGUCAAGUCAUCAUGCCCCUUAUGUCCAGGGCUCCACACAUGCUACAAUGGCCAGUACAGAGGGCUGCGAGACCGUGAGGUGGAGCGAAUCCCUUAAAGCUGGUCUCAGUUCGGAUCGGGGUCUGCAACUCGACCCCGUGAAGUCGGAGUCGCUAGUAAUCGCAGAUCAGCAACGCUGCGGUGAAUACGUUCCCGGGCCUU